GCUUCUGUGGUGUAGAAAGGCACGAAAGGUUGUGGUUCUUUAGGAGGGCAUAAGGCCCCGGAGGUC
rnacentral:tRNA from 1 species